AGUGAACGCUGGCGGCGUGCUUAACACAUGCAAGUCGAACGAGAACGGAAUAUAGCUUGCUAUAUUUGUCAGCUAAGUGGCGCACGGGUGAGUAAUAUAUAGAUAACCUGCCCUUAAGAAAGGAAUAACAGUUGGAAACGAAUGCUAAUGCCCUAUAUGCCUUUAAUACAUAAGUAUGCAAGGGAAACGCUUUAGUGCUUAAGGAUGGGUCUGUAUGGUAUCAGCUUGUUGGUGAGGUAAUGGCUCACCAAGGCUAUGACGCCUAACUGGUUUGAGAGGAUGAUCAGUCACACUGGAACUGAGACACGGUCCAGACUCCUACGGGAAGCAGCAGUGGGGAAUAUUGCACAAUGGACGAAAGUCUGAUGCAGCAACGCCGCGUGGAGGAUGACACAUUUCGGUGCGUAAACUCCUUUUAUAUAGGAAGAUAAUGACGGUACUAUAUGAAUAAGCACCGGCUAACUCCGUGCCAGCAGCCGCAGUAA
rnacentral:rRNA from 1 species